rnacentral:rRNA from 1 species
UACGUAGGGGGCUAGCGUUGUCCGGAAUUAUUGGGCGUAAAGAGCUCGUAGGCGGCUUGUCACGUCGGGUGUGAAAGACCGGGGCUUAACCCCGGUUCUGCAUUCGAUACGGGCUAGCUAGAGUGUGGUAGGGGAGAUCGGAAUUCCUGGUGUAGCGGUGAAAUGCGCAGAUAUCAGGAGGAACACCGGUGGCGAAGGCGGAUCUCUGGGCCAUUACUGACGCUGAGGAGCGAAAGCGUGGGGAGCGAACAGG